UACGGGGGGGGCAAGCGUUUGUUCGGAAUUACUGGGCGUAAAGGGCUCGUAGGCGGCCAACUAAGUCAUACGUGAAAUCCCUCGGCUUAACCGGGGAACUGCGUCUGAUACUGGAUGGCUUGAGUUCGGGAGAGGGAUGCGGAAUUCCAGGUGUAGCGGUGAAAUGCGUAGAUAUCUGGAGGAACACCGGUGGCGAAGGCGGCAUCCUGGACCGAUACUGACGCUGAGGAGCGAAAGCCAGGGGAGCAAACGGG
rnacentral:rRNA from 1 species